CGUAUCCAGAUUCAGAACAACAGGUUAUGCGGUACACUGCAAGUGGUACCAAUAUUUUGUCGCCAUCUAGUUUUUCAUUGCUGUAACAAUCUAGGGCACACGACAUCUACUCAAGAUGGCAAACGAACAAACGAAGGAAGAGACUUAUGCUUACUACUACCACACAAAUUACAUCAGAAAUGCCCGCGCCAUCGCGAUCGCCUGGGCCAUUUUUACUCUAUGUUUCUUCAUCAUAGUCCUGGUGGUUUUUGUGCAGCCAUACUGGCUCGGUGAUGGACCCAAUGCCAAUGGAAUAGGGAACUUUGGACUGUACCGAUACUGCACGAGCUACGGUACGACGGGGGCUCAGCCCUCAUGCGAAGGAGGGGUGUUUGGCUUCGCCGGUGUAAGAGGGGCCGAUGGGGAAGUCGUCCCCGCUAUGGUGGCAGCGACUGUCUUCGUGGGAAUUGCUGUUAUUUUGGUGGCCUUAUCCAUUGUGUCCAUGCUCCUUUUUCUCUGCAAAAGCCCCCUAAAAACGGGAACUGUAUUCGCCAUUUGCGGAGCUUUCCAGUUACUUUCAGGUAUCUGCCUUUUGCUUGGAAUUCUGAUAUACCCCAGCGGUUGGAGCCAACACUCUGCCUACAAAGCGCUCUGUCAGGACACCAUCAGUUACACCGACACCAAAGGCUGUGAGCUGCGAUGGGUCUUCUUUCUUGCAAUCAUCGCUGUCUUUGAUGCUUUCAUCUUGGCCAUUCUCGCCUUCAUACUGGCCAGUAAGCAAGGCAAGCUCUACAUGGACAUGCACUUCUCGGACUACUACAAGAAUGGCAAAACCGGUAAUGGAGUUCACCCCAAGCCAAAGAAGCACGGCACAGUCAAUUCCACUAUCUUCAACACCUACCCUGCCGUCCGAGAGAACAACCGACCCCGCAUCAAUGGAUCCGCAGGCAAUGGAACUGCAGGCAGAGGAGACAACACAGAUGGCAGCAGCACCAUCCCGAGAGUCGAAGAUGACGUGUAUGCCCAGGUAAGGCCACGAUCGGUUCGUGAGGCAGAGAGCCACGGGGCUGCCGAUGACGAGUUCUCGAGUACCACCCGCAGCUCCAAGAGCACCGGGAAGUCGACCCGGAAGUCCAACAAUCGAGAGCACGAUGUCUCGGUCUGAAAGUCGGUAAUUGAUCUUUGGGCUACAAGAGCAUGCGGAAUGUAGGUUGUAGCAAAUCAUAUGUGCUAGGUGUAUAUAACACUGGUUUAGUAUCUUCCAUGGAUGUGUGCCUAUGAUACCAGCGACUAUGGUCAUCUGAAUGGGGUAGUCGGGUGUGGCGGGGAAGAGGGUGUAAUGUGCUAUGUCUAGUGUUCUUCCAAGAAUGUGCAUCGGAUGAUCCAGCCAGAACAUUACAAAAUACAUGUACGUGAACAAAUAUUAAAAAUAUAAUGAAGUUCCGCUUUUAAAAAUUCCAUCUGCCUUUUAAAUUUCAUAUUGGAUUCAUUUGAUACACUUUGAUCGAUCUUUUCCUAAAUCACUUGACUUCAGGACUCUAAUGAUGAGGAUCAUCCGUUAAGUGUUCCUCCUCUCACACUUAAACCAAAAUGUAUUCUACAAAAGUAAAUUGUACCAUUGAUAUUAGAUAUCAUAUCUAUGGAUGUAUUGUCUGUAGACUUGCUGUGACAUUGAAAUGGGGCAACCAGCUAGUAGUCCUCUCUGAAGGCCUACUUGUCCAAGUUUUCUUUAGUAAAAAAAAAAAUUCAAAAGAGUCUUCAACUUCACUGUGUCAGGAUUGGUUUUUGUUGAGAAGAGGCAGCUCCAAUUCUUAAUUUCCUUGUGUAAUAUACUUAAACAUCAACUACUAAAAGUGGAAGAAGAAAUGGCUGCAAUUGAAAUGUGUGAUCGAUUUUUAUAUUCAGUUGUUUAGUGCAUCAAAUGUAUGUAUAUUUAUGUUUUUAAUUAUGUGUCUUAUAGCGUUAAAAAUGGAUUGGACUCCUAUGUUGUCUCUGGCAGCCAGCAGAUUACGGCUGACAACCCUUAAACUCAUGAUUGGUCAACUGAUGUCAUGUGACUCAUGUCAGCAGAACGGAUUCCUGAUCGUAUGUACUGUAGAUGUGAUUUGGAAGAAGAAAAGAAAAUUGAAAUUUUUCACAACUUCUCUCUCAGAGGACAUGAAAAAUUACGUGAGAUGACGUCGAAUAUGCAAAGAUGAUUUAAAAAUAACAGUAGAAUUUGUGGAGGGUGCAGUUUGCUUCUAGUCUUCAAUUUAUAUGCUUGCCAGGUGUAUACACUACACAUGUACAUAAAAUAAGUGUUAUAUUGUUCAGAGAAAGGCAAGUUUAAAGUAUUAUGACAUUUGGAGUCCCAUACGUUACCGAGUUCUGACCAUAAAUUGACAUCAAAUUAGUCGUUUCACUUCAUAUUAAAUAUUGUUACAUGUUAGAUAUAUAAGUAACGUAUGGGACAAAAUAGCUCAGACUUGUUCUAAGAAAAACAGAUCAGUUUUUAUCUUAUUCCUUCAUGAUCAAAGUUGUUUUUAAAAAAAGGAUGAUGAAUUAUAAUAUUUUUGGGAAUGUUGCUGAAAUUGUAUAAAGAUGAUAUAUCACAUACAGUAUGCAUAUAUAGGUAAUAUAGGACUAUGUAGAUCUUAUGAAUCAGAUAUGGAGUACUUAAGAUAUGUCUAUUUUAGUAUUAAUCUGUAUAUACUGAGCACGUUCGUAUUAUUCACUAAUCUUUAAUUGUUUUCUCAUUCUUUGUAGACCUAUUCCGACUCUUUUGUACUCUACGACUCUUUUGCAACUCAGAUUGUUCCUCUUUUAUUAUUGAAUACUUGUGUAUAUUGUUGUUUUAUUUUGCUUUCCCGAAUAUACGAAAAAUAUAUAUUUUCUUUAAUACCCAGACGUUCCUUGCUUUGAAUGAAAGAGAACGAACGUGUGUUUUUUAAUGGCUAUUUUUAUACAAUUAUUAAAAAGUGUAGUAAAUGGUUAAUAAAUGUACGUGUAUAAGCUAAUUUCUUCCCUUUUAUGCUGAGUUUUCCUCCCCAAAUUUGCGGUAUAAUUUAAACGAGGAACGAUUUAUGUUCACUUUAAACAACAACUCUCAGGUUUGGACUUUAAUUGCCUUAUCUGUGAUUACAUGUAUGUUGAGUAUAUAUUGCACGAAGACCCCGUCAAUUCAUAAUCUCGAUGGAAAUUUAAGAGGGGUUAUUAAGAACAAAGGUUGGUUCCAAACAGUGUCCGCCUAUUUACAAUGAUUUAGCAAAUGAUUACGGAAGUUAAACAAUGAUGAGAGAUAUCAAAUUGAAUGUAUAUCGUUUGAUGUUAUCUAUUAUUUGCUCGACUGGGGGAAACCCAGCAAGUUGAGAAGAAAGAAUAAGGAUGUAGUCAAGAAUUUCAAGACAAUGCAUGCAUGGGAUGACGGUUUUGUUACCCAGAUUAAAGUUUGUUUCAUUAAAUGCAAAUAGGCGUAUUAGGUUGUGCCGAAAUUUGAAAACGCCACAAUAUUCGGUAUUGAU